rnacentral:rRNA from 1 species
AUGGAUGGGAGCUUGCUCCCUGAAGUUAGCGGCGGACGGGUGAGUAACACGUGGGCAACCUGCCUGUAAGACUGGGAUAACUUCGGGAAACCGGAGCUAAUACCGGAUACGUUCUUUCCUCGCAUGAGGAAAGAUGGAAAGACGGUUUCGGCUGUCACUUACAGAUGGGCCCGCGGCGCAUUAGCUAGUUGGUGAGGUAAUGGCUCACCAAGGCCACGAUGCGUAGCCGACCUGAGAGGGUGAUCGGCCACACUGGGACUGAGACACGGCCCAGACUCCUACGGGAGGCAGCAGUAGGGAAUCUUCCGCAAUGGACGAAAGUCUGACGGAGCAACGCCGCGUGAGCGAAGAAGGCCUUCGGGUCGUAAAGCUCUGUUGUUAGGGAAGAACAAGUGCCAGAGUAACUGCUGGCACCUUGACGGUACCUAACCAGAAAGCCACGGCUAACUACGUGCCAGCAGCCGCGGUAAUACGUAGGUGGCAAGCGUUGUCCGGAAUUAUUGGGCGUAAAGCGCGCGCAGGUGGUUCCUUAAGUCUGAUGUGAAAGCCCACGGCUCAACCGUGGAGGGUCAUUGGAAACUGGGGGACUUGAGUGCAGAAGAGGAAAGUGGAAUUCCAAGUGUAGCGGUGAAAUGCGUAGAGAUUUGGAGGAACACCAGUGGCGAAGGCGACUUUCUGGUCUGUAACUGACACUGAGGCGCGAAAGCGUGGGGAGCGAACAGGAUUAGAUACCCUGGUAGUCCACGCCGUAA